CUUCUACAGAUGUUCACGGACUACUGAUCCUGAGCCAGGCAUUGGGCAGAGAAAAAAACCCAAUUCCUGCCCUCUUGGUGACUAUAUAGUGAUAAGGAAGAUAAGAAGCAAAUAAGCAGACUCAGAAAUAAGAUACUGUGAGAAAAGGCAGCGUCACAUUCAGUGGCCACAACAACACUGUGUGGUCUAGCAGCCUCUGCCAGGGCUUCACCCAUGUCCCUAACAUUUCCGUGGGCUCCAGCCAAAUGCUACUACUGGCACAUACAUCACUGGGUUGGAAGCCUGGUUCCAGAACUGCAGAAUGCUACAUGGCCUAUGAAUGAAGCAGGUGCAAGUGUCAGAGAAUUAACAUCUGCCAGGAGCAGCUCUCAGCCAAUGACUGGGGAAGUGGGUGUAUCAAUCCCCCAGCUCCUUCACCCAGUAGAUGGGGCAACUCUAAGGAGGGCAAGCCACCCCGGGUUUCAGAGCUUUCCCUGUGGAAAUAAGCUCCAUUGGUACUCAGCUUAACAACACAUUUUCUCUAUUGGCCACCUGCUCUUGUCUGUACCACUUCUCCAUCCCCUUCCAGGGUUUUACCCACCCUACACACACAACAGAUCUCAAAAAU
ensembl:lncRNA